rnacentral:rRNA from 1 species
CCUACGGGUGGCAGCAGUGAGGAAUAUUGGUCAAUGGGCGCGAGCCUGAACCAGCCAAGUCGCGUGAGGGAUGACGGCCCUACGGGUUGUAAACCUCUUUUGCCGGGGAGCAACGGGCGCCACGUGUGGCGCCACUGAGAGUACCCGGAGAAAACGCAUCGGCUAACUCCGUGCCAGCAGCCGCGGUAAUACGGAGGAGGCGAUCGUUAUCCGGAUUUAUUGGGUUUAAAGGGUGCGUAGGCGGUUCGUUAAGUCAGUGGUCAAAUUGAGGGUCUCAACCCCUUUCCGCCAUUGAAACUGGCGCUCUUGAGUGGAAGAGAAGUAUGCGGAAUGCGUGGUGUAGCGGUGAAAUGCAUAGAUAUCACGCAGAACCCCGAUUGCGAAGGCAGCCUGCCAAGCCAUGACUGACGCUGAUGCACGAAAGCGUGGGGAUCAAACAGGAUUAGAUACCCUUGUAGUC